AUUGAACGCUGGCGGCGUGCCUAACAUAUGCAAGUCGAACGAAGCACAGGAGCUUGCUCUUGUGACUGAGUGGCGCACGGGUGAGUAACGCGUGGAUGAUCUACCCAGAAGUUCGGGAUAACAGUUGGAAACGACUGCUAAUACCGGAUAUAACCCUUUUCACACUUGGGUUAAAGGCGGCCUCUGCAUAUGCUGUCGCUUUUGGAUGAGUCCGCGUUUCAUUAGGUUGUUGGUGAGGUAAUGGCUCACCAAGCCUGCGAUGAAUAGCCGGCCUGCGAGGGUAACCGGCCACACUGGGACUGGAACACGGCCCAGACUCCUACGGGAGGCAGCAGUGGGGAAGAUUGCGCAAUGGGCGAAAGCCUGACGCAGCGACGCCGCGUGAGGGAUGAAGGCCUUCGGGUCGUAAACCUCUGUCAGGAGGGAAGAACGGCACAGAGAGUAACUGCUCUGUGAUUGACGGUACCCCCAAAGGAAGCACCGGCUAACUCCGUGCCAGCAGCCGCGGUAAAAC
rnacentral:rRNA from 1 species